rnacentral:rRNA from 1 species
CACGUGUAGCGGUGAAAUUGCGUAGAGAUGUGGAGGAACACCAGUGGCGAAGGCGACUCUCUGGUCUGUAACUGACGCUGAGGAGCGAAAGCGUGGGGAGCGAACAGGAUUAGAUACCCUGGUAGUCCACGCCGUAAACGAUGAGUGCUAAGUGUUAGGGGGUUUCCGCCCCUUAGUGCUGCAGCUAACGCAUUAAGCACUCCGCCUGGGGAGUACGGUCGCAAGACUGAAACUCAAAGGAAUUGACGGGGGCCCGCACAAGCGGUGGAGCAUGUGGUUUAAUUCGAAGCAACGCGAAGAACCUUACCAGGUCUUGACAUCCUCUGACAAUCCUAGAGAUAGGACGUCCCCUUCGGGGGCAGAGUGACAGGUGGUGCAUGGUUGUCGUCAGCUCGUGUCGUGAGAUGUUGGGUUAAGUCCCGCAACGAGCGCAACCCUUGAUCUUAGUUGCCAGCAUUCAGUUGGGCACUCUAAGGUGACUGCCGGUGACAAACCGGAGGAAGGUGGGGAUGACGUCAAAUCAUCAUGCCCCUUAUGACCUGGGCUACACACGUGCUACAAUGGACAGAACAAAGGGCAGCGAAACCGCGAGGUUAAGCCAAUCCCACAAAUCUGUUCUCAGUUCGGAUCGCAGUCUGCAACUCGACUGCGUGAAGCUGGAAUCGCUAGUAAUCGCGGAU